rnacentral:rRNA from 1 species
AAAGCUCAAAUUUGAAAUCUGGCACUUUCAGUGUCCGAGUUGUAAUUUGAAGAAGGUAUCUKUGGGUCUGGCUCUUGUCUAUGUUUCUUGGAACAGAACGUCACAGAGGGUGAGAAUCCCGUGCGAUGAGAUGUCCCAGACCUAUGUAAAGUUCCUUCGAAGAGUCGAGUUGUUUGGGAAUGCAGCUCUAAGUGGGUGGUAAAUUCCAUCUAAAGCUAAAUAUUGGCGAGAGACCGAUAGCGAACAAGUACAGUGAUGGAAAGAUGAAAAGAACUUUGAAAAGAGAGUGAAAAAGUACGUGAAAUUGUUGAAAGGGAAGGGCUUGAGAUCAGACUUGGUAUUUUGUAUGUUACUCUCUCGGGGGUGGCCUCUACAGUUUACCGGGCCAGCAUCAGUUUGAGCGGUAGGAUAAGUGCAAAGAAAUGUGGCACUGCUUCGGUAGUGUGUUAUAGUCUUUGUCGAUACUGCCAGCUUAGACUGAGGACUGCGGCUUCGGCCUAGGAUGUUGGCAUAAUGAUCUUAAGUCGCCCG